rnacentral:lncRNA from 1 species
UCAUCACAUUCUUCAUUCACAGCGCCACUCGGGCCAACAGAAGAAGCAGGAGUCUUUUGUACAGAGGAGGGUUUGGCAACAGCAAGUGCCGGAUUCUAAACACUCACAGCAGUCCCAACCGGACGCUCGGCAGAAUCAGAAACAAUGUGAGGCUUCGGGGGUGCAGAAAACACACGACCACUACGGGUCAACCCGCCCACAUCGGCAAUAUUAACCACAGAGUUUGAAGGCAAC